rnacentral:rRNA from 1 species
AACGAACGCUGGCGGCAUGCCUAACACAUGCAAGUCGAACGAAGCCUUCGGGCUUAGUGGCGCACGGGUGCGUAACGCGUGGGAAUCUGCCCUUUGGUUCGGAAUAACAGUUGGAAACGACUGCUAAUACCGGAUGAUGACGAAAGUCCAAAGAUUUAUCGCCAGAGGAUGAGCCCGCGUAGGAUUAACUAGUUGGUGUGGUAAAGGCGCACCAAGGCGACGAUCCUUAGCUGGUCUGAGAGGAUGAUCAGCCACACUGGGACUGAGACACGGCCCAGACUCCGACGGGAGGCAGCAGUGGGGAAUAUUGGACAAUGGGCGAAAGCCUGAUCCAGCAAUGCCGCGUGAGUGAUGAAGGCCCUAGGGUUGUAGAGCUCUUUUACCCGGGAUGAUAAUGACGGUACCGGGAGAAUAAGCCCCGGCUAACUCCGUGCCAGCCGCCGCGGUAA